rnacentral:rRNA from 1 species
UACGGAGGGGGCUAGCGUUGUUCGGAAUUACUGGGCGUAAAGCGCGCGUAGGCGGACCUGCAAGUCGGGGGUGAAAGCCCGAGGCUCAACCUCGGAACUGCCUUCGAUACUGCGGGUCUCGAGUCCGGGAGAGGUGAGUGGAAUUCCUAGUGUAGAGGUGAAAUUCGUAGAUAUUAGGAAGAACACCAGUGGCGAAGGCGGCUCACUGGCCCGGUACUGACGCUGAGGCGCGAAAGCGUGGGGGAGCAAACAGG